rnacentral:lncRNA from 1 species
UAUAUUGUAAUUAUUGUUUUACUUAUUCUAUAAAUUCCUUUCAAAAUAAACCUAUAUAGGGGAAUACGAACUCAAAAAAAGACUAAGUGCAUGAGCUUACAAGUUAGGGUCACUCAAUUAAUUGUAAUCCGAACCACUAAAAUACCAAGAAACACUACAACGCUUCCUUCUAGGAACAAUACUCCUUCAUCAACUCAUAACCACAAUGUGUAACCCUGCAUUGUCAAAAGAUUGCUCAAAACACAAUAAUUUCCAUCCAACACAAGAAAAAUAGACUUCACUCCAACCAAUCUGGAUCCACAUAAUUUCUAUAAUGACAGACUUCCUUUGUCCAAAAUACAUACAACUCUCAAUAAACAAUAAUCAUAACCUUCCAAUCAUAAUCAAUCUUCCAAUAACUUUUCAUAUAAUUCAAUCACAUAAUAUUCCAAUUAUAUAAUCAAUAACUCAUAAAUCAACCUCUGAUUUAUUCCAUAGACUCACUUCUUAGUAUUCAAAAACUGUCCAUUACUCUUCAACAACAAAGAAAACAAAGAAGUAGCACUAAGCUUAAUCCCGGCUCAUGACUAUCACAGUCUAGCCUCUCAAAGUAACUUCUACAACUCCUAUAUAAUUUUUAUUGAUUUUCAGAUUCUAACUGUAAUCCUAUAAUAACAUCUUUUAAUAACUGAUUUUACCAUCUGUCCUCAUGAACUGACUAUUCUAUGGACUAUUAGUCUAUUUUACUAUUAUCUUACAAAAACGAACUAAUAUCUAUUCUACAUAGCCCCAUUCCUAUCUGUGCAGCAUCCUCGCAAACACACAAU